rnacentral:rRNA from 1 species
UGGGGAAUAUUGGACAAUGGGGGCAACCCUGAUCCAGCCAUGCCGCGUGUGUGAAGAAGGCCUUUUGGUUGUAAAGCACUUUAAGCAGGGAGGAGAGGCUAAUGGUUAAUACCCAUUAGAUUAGACGUUACCUGCAGAAUAAGCACCGGCUAACUCUGUGCCAGCAGCCGCGGUAAUACAGAGGGUGCGAGCGUUAAUCGGAAUUACUGGGCGUAAAGCGAGUGUAGGUGGCUCAUUAAGUCACAUGUGAAAUCCCCGGGCUUAACCUGGGAACUGCAUGUGAUACUGGUGGUGCUAGAAUAUGUGAGAGGGAAGUAGAAUUCCCAGGUGUAGCGGUGAAAUGCGUAGAGAUCUGGAGGAAUACCGAUGGCGAAGGCAGCUUCCUGGCAUAAUAUUGACACUGAGAUUCGAAAGCGUGGGUAGCAAACAGGAUUAGAUACCCUGGUAGUCCACGCCGUAAACGAUGUCUACUAGCCGUUGGGGUCCUUGAGACUUUAGUGGCGCAGUUAACGCGAUAAG